GAUGAGCGCUGGCGGCGUGCCUAAUACAUGCAAGUCGAGCGAACGGACGAGAAGCUUGCUUUUCUGAUGUUAGCGGCGGACGGGUGAGUAACACGUGGAUAACCUACCUAUAAGACUGGGAUAACUUCGGGAAACCGGAGCUAAUAUCGGAUAAUAUUUUGAACCGCAUGGUUCAAAAGUGAAAGACGGUCUUGCUGUCACUUAUAGAUGGAUCCGCGCUGCAUUAGCUAGUUGGUAAGGUAACGGCUUACCAAGGCAACGAUGCAUAGCCGACCUGAGAGGGUGAUCGGCCACACUGGAACUGAGACACGGUCCAGACUCCUACGGGAGGCAGCAGUAGGGAAUCUUCCGCAAUGGGCGAAAGCCUGACGGAGCAACGCCGCGUGAGUGAUGAAGGUCUUCGGAUCGUAAAACUCUGUUAUUAGGGAAGAACAUAUGUGUAAGUAACUGUGCACAUCUUGACGGUACCUAAUCAGAAAGCCACGGCUAACUACGUG
rnacentral:rRNA from 1 species